CCUACGGGAGGCAGCAGUGAGGAAUAUUGGUCAAUGGACGAGAGUCUGAACCAGCCAAGUAGCGUGAAGGAUGACUGCCCUAUGGGUUGUAAACUUCUUUUAUAUGGGAAUAAAAUGUUCCACGUGUGGGAUUUUGUAUGUACCAUAUGAAUAAGGAUCGGCUAACUCCGUGCCAGCAGCCGCGGUAAUACGGAGGAUCCGAGCGUUAUCCGGAUUUAUUGGGUUUAAAGGGAGCGUAGGGGGAUUGUUAAGUCAGUUGUGAAAGUUUGCGGCUCAACCGUAAAAUUGCAGUUGAAACUGGCAGUCUUGAGUACAGUAGAGGUGGGCGGAAUUCGUGGUGUAGCGGUGAAAUGCUUAGAUAUCACGAAGAACUCCGAUUGCGAAGGCAGUUCACUGGACUGCAACUGACACUGAGGCUCGAAAGUGUGGGUAUCAAACAGGAUUAGAUACCCGAGUAGUC
rnacentral:rRNA from 1 species